AUCUCCUCUGGUGCAACUUGUGGCCGUUUCCUCAGCUCUCAUGAAAAGCUUCCAUGGUAGAAUUGCACGGCUUAAAGCACCAAAAGGGGUAGAAGGUGAGUGAACUGAGGGAGACUCUCUUUUGCCUAGUAACAAACACACUGUGCUGCUGCUGUAGCGCAAGAGGAAAGCAUGCAAGCGGAAGUGAGUUCUGUCCUGGGGGAUCAGUUCUAGAAAAGGCUUUUUGAGUAGACUUGGUCUCCCCUACUGAGGAGCUUUAGGAGUCCAAUAGGGCACAGGACACCAUUUACUCUUUUUUUUUUUUUUUUUGAGAUGUUUCAUUCUGUGCAGAGAAUUGCUUUAAAGACCAAAAUGAUGACCCUGGACUUAAUGUCUUGAGGGAUGCUUUCUGCUGGGGAAAGAAAGAAGAAAGAAACAAAGCCCCAAACCUGACUUUUACUCCCACCAAUGAAAGCAGCUGGAAGGGCAAAGAUACAGGGAGGUCUUCAAAUUGGUCCUAGCUUUACUGCUUUGAACCACAGGGAAGGUCGAUGCUGGGUGUGCUUAGCAGAUGUUGCUUGCUUGGUGUCCUGCCUGCCUCUGCACUGAUGCCUUUAACUUCAGCAGCUUAUGCUGGCAUGAGGGAGAGUGAUUUGUGUAUUUUUCUUGAAGGAAACACCGUCAUCGGUUAUCAACAAAGGGUGCUAACAUGGAGGAGAGAGAAGCUGUAGCAAUGCAGAAGCCCUGUGAGCCAGCUGUUUAGUGAAUGCUGGUCUAGACGUCAGUUUAAAACUUAAAUAGGAAUCUGUUAUCAUUGUGUAAUGAUAAAAAAUGAUGUCACAUUGGUACAGUGGGAAGCGGAACAUUUUUAGGUAUUACCAAAACAAAUUUUCUUUCAUAACCUCUGAGUUUUUCUACUUCUUUUAAAAAGGUAGCUGGAGCCUUUGUAAUGUUUUAGAUGUAAGUAGAAACAGAUUUUGAAGUGCCAUGUUUGGUUAAGUAUCAGCUAUGCUGUUUCUUCAUUUACUUGUUAUGAUUUGAUUACUGUAAUAAUGCUAAGUUUAAUGUGUAUUUGCAAAUUAAUCCUCAGAUAUUUCUUUAAGUUACACUCUUUCUAUUUGUUAGAUAUUUUUAGUCAUCAGAUUAUUAUAAAGUCAAUAAAUUUUUGACAGGGAAUAUUUGUUCUAUGUAAAUAAAUGUUAUGAAAUAUUUUGCCUGGUAAUUACAAGCGCUUCUCUAUUUUUCUAUCUGAUAAUUACAGAGUUCUUUGUGGAAACAGAGUAUAAUUGUUCUAUCAUUAGGGUAGUGAAAUUCAUCACUUAUGCAGUGGUGAGUUAAUGACUUCUAGAAAUCAACCCAUGAGAGUGAAAGCAGCAAUUUUCAAUUGUAUUCCAAGACUGACAUUCCUAGAUGAUGAGCCAAGAAUGAUUAUUUGGAUUACCUGAACUGUUUCCUUGCAUCCAACAGAAUGUUUUACUUAAGGAAAUAAUAUAUCUACAAAGUAGCAAAAGUAUUUUUUUAUUUGAAACAUAGCAGUGGUGAAUAGAGCUAGAAUUUAAUCUUCCUUUUGUCUCUGAAUAAUUUUACAUUCCUGCCAAUAGCUUUCAUUCUGCAUUCAGUUUAGAAUUGCAUCACAUCAUCACUUACAGUUUGCAGCUAUUUCCAAAGUCUUUGUGAACACAAAUUUUUGUCUUAUAUUAUCAUGCUGCCAAUGACCAUGUUAAUAUUUGUUGAAUAACAUUUUCUCUGCUCCUCUCUGAUCUGUGGGAAAGUAGCUGGUGCCUCUUCUGAGAGACUGCUUAGUAAUCUGUAUUUUCCUUAGUAUGUCACUGAGUUGUGCGAUAGAUGUUGCCUGUUAAAGCAUACCAAUUAAUAAAAAUGCUCUCACAUGUAAA